rnacentral:rRNA from 1 species
UACGAAGGGAGCUAGCGUUGUUCGGAAUCACUGGGCGUAAAGCGCACGUAGGCGGAUGUGUCAGUCAGGGGUGAAAUCCGGAGCUCAACUUCGGAACUGCCUUUGAUACAGCACGUCUUGAGUCCGGAAGAGGUGGGUGGAAUUCCGAGUGUAGAGGUGAAAUUCGUAGAUAUUCGGAAGAACACCAGUGGCGAAGGCGGCUCACUGGACUGGUAUUGACGCUGGAGGUGACGAAAGCGUGGGGAGCAAACAGG